GACGAACGCUGGCGGCGUGCCUAAUACAUGCAAGUAGAACGCACAGUUUAUACCGUAGCUUGCUACACCAUAAACUGUGAGUUGCGAACGGGUGAGUAACGCGUAGGUAACCUGCCUGGUAGCGGGGGAUAACUAUUGGAAACGUAAGCUAAUACCGCAUAAUAUUGAUUAUUGCAUGAUAAUUGAUUGAAAGAUGCUAUUGCAUCACUACAAGAUGGCCCUGCGUUGUAUUUGCUAGUAGGUGAGGUAACGGCCCACCUAGGCGACGAUACAUAGCCGACCUUGGAGGGGGAUCGGCCAACCUGGGACUGGGACACGGCCCAGACUCCUACGGGAGGCAGCAGUAGGGAAUCUUCGGCAAUGGACGAAAGUCUGACCGAGCAACGCCGCGUGAGUGAAGAAGGUUUUCGGAUCGUAAAGCUCUGUUGUAAGGGAAGAACGGGUGUGAGAGUGGAAAGUUCACACUGUGACGGUAUCUUACCAGAAAGGGACGGCUAACUACGUG
rnacentral:rRNA from 1 species